AGAUAUUCACUACAUUGUUCAAACAUGAACACUUCGUCAUACUGCAAACAAUACCAUGAAAUCGUUAAGCAUAAUGUCACGUGACGCAUAUUUUAUGAAGCUUUUCGUAUUGGGUAACACUUUGAACCAUGAUUAGAUUUGUAUUUACUCGAGCGUUUGUAACACAACGUUUAUCGUCACAAAAGUGUAUUCAGGAAAAUUAAUAUACACACUAUAAGAGUGGUUUAAUGACUGAUACACUAUUAUGAUUCGAGUCAAGUGUUUGCGUUUCCGUUCGAGAUGGAGGAAGAAGGAUACAUGAUAACAUCGAGAAGGAACAAAAUAAUACUGACAUUAACAGUUUUGGUAACCUCCGAAAGACAUUUGACAACGUCCAAGAAGAAUACCAAUUAGUAAACACUUGUAGAAAAUGGGCCAUUCAAGACAGAGAUUCAAUCACACCACUGGACUGUCGAUGUUUUGUUGUUUGAUGCUAGGAGUCAAACACAUUCCUGGUUGUUCAAUUACAUCUCUUGAGAUCAGGGAUUGCAUUUCUUCCGAAAGGAUUACUUAUGGAUAUAAGUCUGCGCCAAAAGAAUGAUGAUGAACCAAAUCUCCCACGACCUGCGGUUACAGAUCAUGACAGGAACGUUUUUCACAAUGAAGGACGCAGAUUAGGAAUCCAUACAACGAGACCGUUACAUGGGGAACAGGCGAUUCUGCAGAUCCGUGUGAAAUCCUUCCGAAGAAGUCCCUAGAUCAUACGGAACCGCGCAGUAGAGUUGGCGACUGCUGGUUUCUUCUAUAUCGGCUAUGCAGAUUGCGUCCGCUGUUUCUUUUGCGGGGUUGUUCUCCGCAGUUGGCAGCCCCAUGAUGUAGCUUGGGCCGAACAUGUGCGAUGGAGUCCUAGCUGUACAUUUGUGCAGUUGAACUCGUGAAGAACACCUAUCCGCAUAUGUUUGUGAAGAUAGAGAAACAGUAUUUGAAGAAUUGGUAAUAUUAUGGCGACCAAAACAAAGUGUUGUAUAAGUUUCUGUAUAUUGUAACGAAAAAUGCCUACUCGGGCGUUAUAGCGUAUUGUUGAACAAGGAAUAUCUUAUGUGUUUGAAGAACAGGGAACGAAAUAUGUUUGUGUGUGAAAUUAAACAUCGAAUAUUUAUUAAUUCAACACUCAUGGAUACUUUUGUGUUUUAUAUGUACAAAAUAUAUGUGGUUAUCUUUUACAAAAUAGACAUAGUAAUGCAGUUAUGAUUAUUCGCUUCUCAAAAUUAUGUUUUGGAACAAUGCAAUCAUAUAAUCCUGUUGAAAAGUGACCAUGAUAUAUAAAAAAAUGAAAGUAAAAUACUUUAUAUAUAUAUAACAUACGUUUAUGAAGAGCAAGAAACAUUAACACUAGUUUCGUUCAUAUGUUAAUAUAUUGCAUGCAAUAUGCCUAUUGAUGAAGAUACGGGUAUUCGCCUUACAAACGAGUUGACUUUGUACAAUGAAAUAGGAACUAAUCAGAAGAUGACCUAAUGUUUGAAUCCCUCAACUGACCUUUAUUUUAUGAGUAAAAACAUUACUUUCAUCAAUAAACUUAUGAAGGAAGUAGGAUAUAAAGGUGUCAAGAAACAAAAGGAAAAACACGCAUUAUAUUUUUUUAACAAUUCUUCUUGAAAUGCUUAGUUUUUACAGGCCCACGUGCCAAUAUCAUCAGUUCUCGUUUUACUGGUUAACAUUUUUUUAACAAGAAAAUACACUGUAAUGACAUGGGAGCUAGAUAGAAGUUUCUUUUCAUCUUCUGAUUUAUGUCUCCUACUAUUUAUAAAAAAAUUUGUUUCACAAUUUUGCAUUUGUAUAAAUAAUAUAAAGAAGUGAAACUCCAGCUGCUGGAGCAGUAUUGAAUUUUCAUUAAAAACAAUUAGUUGGUCCUUUAUUUAAGGCAAGUGAACGAUUGCCCAAACAGUACAAAACAGCACAAUACAAACCAACAUAAACACAAAAUAUGAAUAAAGCUGGAUAAUAUGAAUAAUGCAUUAUUAUGACAACAUGUAAAUAGUAUAUACAUUUGUAACUUACAGCAUUUUUAGCCACCUAGAUCCAAAUCCAUGCAUGAUAUUUGUGGCCGGAUAUAUCUGGUCAAUUCCAGUCAAUACACAUAUUUAAAGCAAGUAAGCAAAAUGAAACGUAGCAAAAUUUUUAUGUUUUCAUGUGACAGUUUCACUGAUAAAGUUUAGUCCAUACAACACUGCCAUGUUUAAAAAAUGAAUGUAAAAGCACACUUUUUAGUAUAAAAAUGUUAACGAUUACUUUGUACAUUUAUUUAUUUUUCUGUUAAUCAUAUUAUUUAUAAGAGUAUAUUGUUCGGUUGUAUAGUUUAAAGUACACAUUUUAAUGAUAAUUGUGUUGACUACUAAUGUAACCAACCACUCACACACCAAGAAAGGGAAACUCAUCAUCAGAAUUUUGUUUAAGUUUUUAUUAAAUAUUACUAUAUACGAGGAGUUCCACAACAGAGCCUGUAUCAGUUACUUCAAGGCGUUCAUUAUUAUUGCAAAUUUGUUGUUGCCUUUAAUCGUACAUAAAAUAGAGUUGUUUGCUUUAAAAUUUAAUGAGGACACACAUAGGUGCUCCAUUCGAAUACAUGACUUGAAAGAUGUAUUUAUCCUACCUCGUCACUGAUAGGGGCUUUACUGUGGAACGGCUCAGAUGUUUUGUUGACAUAUUUAUAUUGUUCAGCUUUGUUUUUCAUUGAUGAUUUGAGUAAAACAUUGUUGUGAAUUA